AGAGUUUGAUCCUGGCUCACGACGAACGCUGGCGGCGUGCUUAAUACAUGCAAGUCAUAGGGGUUAUUUCCUUCGGGAGAUUGGUCACUGGCGCACGGGUGCGUAACGCGUAAGUUAUCUGCCCUUGGGUCUGGCAUAACGUCGGGAAACCGGCGCUAAUUCCAGAUGAUAUCAUAAGAUCAAAGCCUUCGGGCGCCCAAGGAUGAGCUUGCGUCUGAUUAGCUUGUUGGCGGGGUAAUGGCCCACCAAGGCAACGAUCAGUAGCCGGUCUGAGAGGAUGAUCGGCCACAUUGGGACUGAGACACGGCCCAGACUCCUACGGGAGGCAGCAGUAAGGAAUAUUGCGCAAUGGACGAAAGUCUGACGCAGCAACGCCGCGUGCAGGAUGAAGGCCCUUUGGGUUGUAAACUGCUGUAGAAAGGGAAUAAUAGUUUGCCACCGGGUGAACUUGAAGGUACCUUUAAAGUAAGCGCCGGCUAACUACGUGCCAGCAGCCGCGGUAAUACGUAGGGCGCAAGCGUUGUCCGGAUUCACUGGGUGUAAAGGGUGCGCAGGCGGAUUGGCAAGUCAGAGGUGAAAUCUCACGGCUCAACCGUGAAACUGCCUUUGAUACUGCUUAUCUUGAGUUCGGGAGAGGUUGAUGGAAUUCCAGGUGUAGCGGUGAAAUGCGUAGAUAUCUGGAAGAACACCAGUGGCGAAGGCGGUCAACUGGCCCUGAACUGACGCUCAUGCACGAAAGCGUGGGGAUCAAACAGGAUUAGAUACCCCUGGUAGUCCACGCCCUAAACGAUGUAUGCUUGGUGUUGGCUCUUUAUGAGUCAGUGCCGUAGGUAACCUGUUAAGCAUACCACCUGGGGAGUACGCUCGCAAGGGUGAAACUCAAAGGAAUUGACGG
rnacentral:rRNA from 1 species